GGGCAGCACAGGUAGCAAUACUGGGUGGCGACCCGGCAAACGGGUGCGGAACACGUACGCAACCUUCCUUUAACUGGAGAAUAGCCCGGGGAAACCCGGAUUAAUACUCCGUAACAUUAUGAAGUGGCAUCACUUUAUAAUUAUAGCUCCGGCGGUUAAAGAUGGGCGUGCGUCUGAUUAGGUAGUUGGCGGGGUAACGGCCCACCAAGCCUACGAUCAGUAACUGGUGUGAGAGCACGACCAGUCACACGGGCACUGAGACACGGGCCCGACUCCUACGGGAGGCAGCAGUAAGGAAUAUUGGUCAAUGGACGCAAGUCUGAACCAGCCAUGCCGCGUGAAGGAUGAAGGCCCUCUGGGUUGUAAACUUCUUUUAUCUGGGACGAAAAAAGCUCUUUCUAGAGCACUUGACGGUACCAGAGGAAUAAGCACCGGCUAACUCCGUGCCAGCAGCCGCGGUAAUACGGAGGGUGCAAGCGUUAUCCGGAUUUACUGGGUUUAAAGGGCGCGUAGGUGGAUAAGUAAGUCAGUGGUGAAAUCUCCGGGCUUAACCCGGAAACUGCCAUUGAUACUAUUUGUCUUGAAUACUUUGGAGGUAAGCGGAAUAUGUCAUGUCAGCGGUGAAAUGCUUAGAUUGACAUAGAACACCAUUGCGAGGCAGUUACUACA
rnacentral:rRNA from 1 species